AGAGCAGCACUCAGACUGGAAACUGGAUCAGGCAGUGACUUGCUGCAGGAAGGGAGGUUGUCAGUCUGGAUUUCCUUAAAAUCUGGAUUUCCUUUCUGUAUUUUCCUGCUUCCAAAUGUUGGUGAUAUGUGCUCUUGUGCUGGCUGGGACUAAAACCUUCAUCCUUUAAAGAAGCUGCACUGGAAGAACCACAAACUGGUUACAGCUUCUGUGGCUCAAACUGAAUUGUAAAUAUCUGCAGUGAAAUUUUUACAGCUUGAAGGAAAGAAACCAAACUGCAAUUUGAAGAAUUUCAAGACGUUUUUACCCUAAUUCUUCUUCCAUGUGAAAGAGAUCAUACUAAGGCUCAAGGAACAGGCUAUGCUGUAAGAGCUCUGACAGCUGAAGUGCUGUGAUGGGGGGGAUAUGUGCAUUUUAGAAGGAGAAGGGUGAGAUGUGAAAGUUACGCUCUGCACAGAGAGGAGCAGCCCAGAUGCAUGGAAUUCUGCUAUGAGCUGUGUGAUGGCCAGAUGCAGAGGGAAGACCAACACAGGGAGCAUUGUGAAGAGUUUUGCUGGAGGCUACUUAAGCCUCUGAAGACAUCUGGCUGGAAGCAUGAACAGAUUUUCCAGGCCUGAAGCAGCAGAUGUGUAUCUGGACAAGCAAGACACUGCAUCCCCUGCUGACUGAGUACAUGGAACCAUGAAUGUCCUGGAGCAAAACUCACAGUAUUUCUGAACCAUCUCUGUGGAUGAUGAAAUUUGGUGGAGCAAAACCCAGUAAGAACUGAGCUCAACGUUGUAGUGAGGAUGUAACUUAAGGCAGGACAAAUUUGCAUGUGCCUAUAAAAAAUGAAAUAGACAAUUUAAAUAAUCUCUUUGAAGAGUAGUACUUCUUCCUAACGUUGAGUCUGAACUAUUGGUUGAUGACAGUCCAAAUGUGCCAGGUAUAAUUUUUCAGCAGAAGUUGUAAGAUUACAGAAAGGUGAGAAACCUAGCUGAGAGCAUACCUGCAUUAAAAUAAUUGCUUUCUGUGCUAUUCUAAUUUAAUUUCCAAACAGCGCUCAAUCGCUGUGUUAUUAUCCCCUUGGCAUGAGUCAAACGAUAUUCUUUUUAAUUUUUGACCUUCCCUUCACAGUCUGAAAUACCUGACUGUUGUAACUAGAAUAGCACUCAAGAGGGGACAUUCUCUUCAAAGGGAAAACUGAUGUACUACACUGAGCAGAAGGUGGUAGCAAAGCAGAGGAGUUGGGUAAAAAUCCAGGAAUCUAGCUUUAACAUCAUGAGGAAUUUACUGCUUAAAAGGGCUUACAUGUAAUACAAUAACUAAUGCAGGAUAAGAAUUGUCUUUCUUUCAUUAUUUUGUAAUUGGAAAAGAUCAUUAAACUAUUCCUUUCAAAAUAAACAUUGCUGUACCAGGGUGAGCAAAACAGAUGAAUUUGCUUUGAGUUCUGGAUUUCUCCAGAAUGUUCUACUUUAAAACAGAACAAAGAAAAAAUGAAUCAGUGGAAUAUUAACUUUGUAGAGUAAAAUAGUAUAAUUUAAAUGUUAAGAAGACAUUUACAAACACCAUUAAAAACGCCAAAACAUUGGUUUUGCUUUCCAAUGAGUUCUAAAUGUGAAUCUGUCAGUUCCACUGAAGAUGAACUUGUCCACGUAUUGUAUUUUGACAAAAUACUUCUCUGUGGUUCUCAUCUGAGGUAUCACCCGAGCCAAGCACGUCCUUGAUUAAUUAAUAUCAAUGGAGUUCCAUACCAGGAGUGUGGCUCUUUCAACACCCAUUACUCUAGGAACAAAUUGGUUUUUAAUUGGUCCAGUUUGCAAAAGAGACCCCUGACUCUCACUCAAGCCCCCCACUGUAUCAAAACAUGGACAUUAUGGACCUGUUGCAUCCUUCUCCCCCCUCACAGUCCCAAGCUCCCACACACCUUCUCACCCAAAUUGGUGAGAUACAUUGAGGGAACAUACACAAAUUGACUUAGCCCAAAUCUUUCUGUCAUGCUUCUGCCUCUCAAU